AGACAGAGGGUGCGAACGUUGCUCGGAAUUACUGGGCGUAAAGCGCGUGUAGGCGGACUUGUAAGUCGAUUGUGAAAGCCCUGGGCUCAACCCAGGAACUGCAUUCGAAACUACAAGUCUUGAGUGGUGGAGAGGGAAGCGGAAUUCCCGGUGUAGAGGUGAAAUUCGUAGAUAUCGGGAGGAACACCAGCGGCGAAGGCGGCUUCCUGGACACCAACUGACGCUGAGACGCGAAAGCGUGGGGAGCAAACAGGAUUAGAAACCCUAGUAGUCC
rnacentral:rRNA from 1 species